AUACAGCCAAGCAGAAUUAUCCAGCCCAAACAAAAAAACUGUAGUCCCUAAUAAAUGUGCAUGUGUUGUGGUUACCUUGGAGACUGGCACACAUCUGGACGCACAAAUGUUUGGUCAGUGAGAAUGGGGAGAUCUCCCAAGGGCCUGCCUUUCCCUGAGGAUAUGAACAAGCCACUGACAGUUACUGGGAGGAAGAGAACUUUCUUCUGUGGCACUGCUGUUCUUUACAUUGCCAGCACACCACAGGUGACCUAUGCCAACUUACUUCUCCAUCUUCUGAAGGAACUUUAAAACCUAACUACUCAUGUUUAUGGCACCAAGUGCAGUUGAUGCGCCAAACUCUGAUUGACAGAAAGAUGCUACAUAGGACAAAUUCAAGGACAUCAUCAGUGUCCCCCAAAUGCGCGUGUGUUGAGGGCUUAUCUUCCUGUGCACAGGAAGAAAUUUGAAGACAGAAAACUGAAAACCAAGACACCCUGCUGAGCCACAAGUC